GAAGGGGGCUAGCGUUGCUCGGAAUCACUGGGGGUAAAGGGGGCGUAGGCGGGUCUUUAAGUCAGGGGGGAAAUCCUGGAGCUCACUCCAGAACUGCCUUUGAUACUGAGGAUCUUGAGUUCGGGAGAGGUGAGAGGAACUGCGAGUGUAGAGGUGAAAUUUGUAGAUAUUUGCAAGAACACCACUGGCGAAGGCGGCUCACUGGCCCGAUACUGACGCUGAGGCACGAAAGCGUGGGGAGCAAACAGGAUUAGAUACCCUGGUAGUGCACGCCGUAAACGAUGAAUGCCAGCCGUUAGUGGGUUUACUCACUAGUGGCGCAGCUAACGCUUUAAGCAUUCCUCCUGGGGAGUGCGGUCGCAAGAUUA
rnacentral:rRNA from 1 species